rnacentral:rRNA from 1 species
GUGAACGACAUGCUUCUUUUUAAUGAAGUCAUUGGUCACUUGGGGCUAAUUGAAUUACCCUUAAAAGGGAGAAGGUUUACAUGGUCCAAUAUGCAAGAUGUACCUCUCUUGGAGCAAAUUGACUGGUUUUUCACAACUGUCAGUUGGACUUAUAGUUACCCAAACACUAUGGUGCUUCCCCUUGCCAGGACUGCAUCUGAUCAUACACCCUGUGUGGUUUCUAUCAGAACAAUGAUCCCAAAGGCAAAGAUUUUUCAUUUUGAAAUAUAUUGGGUCAACCUGCCUGGCUUUCUUGACUGUGUUAAAGAUUCUUGGUCCAAACCAGUGCACAAAAAGUCCUCUGCUGUUGUCAUCACAGCUAAAUUCAAAAACCUCAGACACACACUCAAG